UAAUAGCAAAUGAAGAAUUCAUUAAAUUCUAGCAAGAAAAAAAAGUCAAGCAGUGGAACUGGACAGUAUUUUUUGAACACAUCCUCCCUUUCAAGGAACAAGAUUUGUUUAAGGCACAAAUUCCAGUCUGUACAGAUGCUAUCCUGAAUUUGUCUGAGAGAUCUUCUUAAUUUAGCGCUCUGCCUUUGGAUGUCCUGGGAAUUAUUGCAAGAGCCUUAGUAACAGAAAAGUGCAAUCCAGACUUACACUGGAACACAUGGGAUAACUAGUUAGAAAAUCCAGGAUCUUUCAAGGCUUAGAAAAUAGCCUUGUGCCUUCCACCUGAGCUUGGGCUCUGYGCUGAUGUUGGUGCCACUAUCCUAUAGAGACAGAAUUUUGAGUUUUGAAUCUCUUCAGGCAGAGCAGGGAACUGUACCAUGGUAUCUAUAUGGUAGGUGACUUCUUA